rnacentral:lncRNA from 1 species
UGCUGGAUCCCUCUCUUUUUCUGAAGGAAAGCAUCUUUCAAGCUGAACUAAGCCCCUGAGAUGGUUCCAUAAGGUGGAAGUCUCCUCCUGUGACUCAAUGCAUGCAAGUUUUCCUCAGUGUGUAGUCUCAGAUUCUCUGACCUGGCUUUCGGCACUUCUGAGAUGAGAUACUGAAAGGAUGUGAUAUUUUACGGUGCAUGCUGGAACCAUUGGCAGAAAUGUAAUUGACUCUUCCCAUGUGGCUGCCAUCACAAGCUCCUUUACAGAUGAAAGACAAGAAACAAAUCUUUCCAUCCACAAAACUGGAGACAGGACUAAUUUGCUGAUGUUGUACAAAGAAUUCUCUCUCUGGAUAUCUGGCUGAUGGGAUCAGAAGAACUCAAAGAUGGUAUUGGAUCAAAGGUCCAUUUAGGCAAGUAGUUCUCCAUUUAUUAUUGCUCAGGUCGUUCCUGCUUCCCUUUGGUUAUUGAGUGUUCCACCUCCCUUGCUAUUUACAUCUUUCUCCCUCUGUUCUUUAGAUUCCUGAGUCCUUCGGCACUCCUGG